UACAGAGGGUGCUAACGUUGUUCGGAAUCACUGGGCUAAAGCGCACGUAGGCGGCUAGGCAAGUGCGAUGUGAAAGCCCCCGGCCCAACGGGGAACUGCAUCGUAGACUGCCUGGCUUGAGAGCGGUAGGGGAGAUAGAACUCCGUGUGGAGCGGUGAAAUGACGUAGAUAUCAGGAGGAAUACCGGUGGCGAAGGCGAGUCUCUGGUCCGCUUCUGACGCUCGAUGUGCGAAAGCUAGGGGAGCAAACGGG
rnacentral:rRNA from 1 species